UAACGCGUAGGUAACCUGCCUGGUAGCGGGGGAUAACUAUUGGAAACGAUAGCUAAUACCGCAUAAGAGUAGAUGUUGCAUGACAUUUACUUAAAAGGUGCAAUUGCAUCACUACCAGAUGGACCUGCGUUGUAUUAGCUAGUUGGUGGGGUAACGGCUCACCAAGGCGACGAUACAUAGCCGACCUGAGAGGGUGAUCGGCCACACUGGGACUGAGACACGGCCCAG
rnacentral:rRNA from 2 species